UGGGGAAUAUUGCACAAUGGGCGGAAGCCUGAUGCAGCAACGCCGCGUGCGGGAUGACGGCCUUCGGGUUGUAAACCGCUUUCGCCUGUGACGAAGCGUGAGUGACGGUAAUAGGUAAAGAAGCACCGGCUAACUACGUGCCAGCAGCCGCGGUGAUACGUAGGGUGCGAGCGUUGUCCGGAUUUAUUGGGCGUAAAGGGCUCGUAGGUGGUUGAUCGCGUCGGAAGUGUAAUCUUGGGGCUUAACCCUGAGCGUGCUUUCGAUACGGGUUGACUUGAGGAAGGUAGGGGAGAAAAAAAAAAAAAUUUUUUAGCGGUGGAAUGCGCAGAUAUCAGGAGGAACACCAGUGGCGAAGGCGGUUCUCUGGGCCUUUCCUGACGCUGAGGAGCGAAAGCGUGGGGAGCGAACAGGCUUAGAUACCCUGGUAGUCCACGCUGUAAACGGUGGGUACUAGGUGUGGGGUCCAUUCCACGGGUUCCGUGCCGUAGCUAACGCUUUAAGUACCCCGCCUGGGGAGUACGGCCGCAAGGCUA
rnacentral:rRNA from 1 species